AGUGAACGCUGGCGGUAGACCUAACACAUGCAAGUCGAACGGCAGCACAGUAAGAGCUUGCUCUUACGGGUGGCGAGUGGCGGACGGGUGAGGAAUACAUCGGAAUCUACUUUUUCGUGGGGGAUAACGUAGGGAAACUUACGCUAAUACCGCAUACGACCUACGGGUGAAAGCAGGGGAUCUUCGGACCUUGCGCGAUUGAAUGAGCCGAUGUCGGAUUAGCUAGUUGGCGGGGUAAAGGCCCACCAAGGCGACGAUCCGUAGCUGGUCUGAGAGGAUGAUCAGCCACACUGGAACUGAGACACGGUCCAGACUCCUACGGGAGGCAGCAGUGGGGAAUAUUGGACAAUGGGCGCAAGCCUGAUCCAGCCAUACCGCGUGGGUGAAGAAGGCCUUCGGGUUGUAAAGCCCUUUUGUUGGGAAAGAAAAGCAGCAGGUUAAUACCCCGCUGUUCUGACGGUACUCAAAGAAUAAGCACCGGCUAACUUCGUG
rnacentral:rRNA from 1 species